GUAGAUGUUGGCAAUAGAAAUCCCAGUAGAUUUUCUGUUUAUUUCCUAUCUUCACCUCUGUUGUGGGAACUCCUUGGGUGGAAGAGCAUGACUGUUUUAUUCACCACUAGCCCCCCAGCAUCUGAAAAGUACCUGGUACAUGAUAAAGACUCAACAAGCAUUUGCUGUAGGAAGGAGGGAACAAGCGGAGGCCCACUGAGACCACCUAGUGGAAGGAAUGUGGAGCAUGUGGUUUUCGGUGGUCCAGUGAGCAUGUAGCUAUCUUCAAGAAGUCUGUCUGUGUUGUGUACAAAUAGAGUUACAACCCUUCCCCUCCCCUCCUCCCAAGGGAGUGUGGUUACAAGAACGCUGACACAACAUCCUCUGGGCAAAGUUUGUUGUGCCAUGUUCACUCUCCCCAAAGCUCCCUCUGGCUUCCGACUCACUCCCUCUGCUUAGUUCCUCCUCUUGGAGCACUAGAUGUGUCUGCAUCCACCAUCAAGCUACCCUUUGGCUUGUAUGUGUCUGCUGGUCCUCAACUGAGGUCCCACCUUUGUUCCUGGAAUUCAUCACAGGGCCUGCGACUGACCUUUAGACACCAAGUCUGCAGAAAACCUGUGACUAUCCAGGUGUUUCAGACGGAGCAGCAAGCUUUCAUUCUCAGUUGUCGUCUUGCUUACUUUCGAAAGACUACAUGAACACUCUCCGAGAAAGUUCUGUUUUUACAGUGGCUUAUAACUGACGUAAUUAUGAGACAUUGCUCAAUUAAAUCAGACUCUACACCUUUCCAAAAACCCAACCUCACUCUUGAAGAAUAUCACACUCCUGUCGGGCAGUUUUCCCAUUCUUCUCUCCAUCCAUCGCGUGCAAUCUAAGGAGUCACUGAAGUCAGCAUCACCUAAACUCAGCUCUCAGGCUUCUCUCCUUUGGAAAUGCUAGCUAGGACAUUUUGGAAAUGACUUCUUUGGGC
rnacentral:lncRNA from 1 species